rnacentral:rRNA from 1 species
GACGAACGCUGGCGGCGUGCCUAAUACAUGCAAGUCGAACGCAGGGGGGACGGGUGAGUAACACCUGGGUAACCUCCCAUCAGAGGGGAUAACACUUGGAAACAGGUGCUAAACUGAUACUGAUGGAUGGACAUGCGGGGGAUUAGCUAGUUGGUGAGGUAACGGCUACCCAAGGCCACGAUGCAUAGCCGACCUGAGAGGGUGGUCGGCCACACUGGGACUGAGACACGGCCCAGACUCCUACGGGAGGCAGCAGUAGGGAAUCUUGGGCAAUGGGCGAAAGUCUGACCGAGCAACGCCGCGUGAGUGAAGAAGGUUUUCGGAUCUUAAAGCUCUGUUGUUAGAGAAGCGGUAUCUAACCAGGAAGCCACGGCUAACUACGUGCCAGCAGCCGCGGUAAUAC